rnacentral:rRNA from 1 species
UACGGGGGGGGCAAGCGUUGUUCGGAAUUACUGGGCGUAAAGGGCUCGUAGGUGGCCAACUAAGUCAUACGUGAAAUCCCUCGGCUUAACCGGGGAACUGCGUCUGAUACUGGAUGGCUUGAAUCCGGGAGAGGGAUGCAGAAUUCCAGGUGUAGCGGUGAAAUGCGUAGAUAUCUGGAGGAACACCGGUGGCGAAGGCGGCCAACUGGACGAAUACUGACGCUGAGACACGAAAGCGUGGGGAGCAAACAGGAUAGAUACC